UACGUAGGGUGCGAGCGUUGUCCGGAAUUAUUGGGCGUAAAGAGCUUGUAGGCGGUUUGUCGCGUCUGCCGUGAAAAUCCGGGGCUCAACCCCGGACUUGCGGUGGGUACGGGCAGACUAGAGUGUGGUAGGGGAGACUGGAAUUCCUGGUGUAGCGGUGAAAUGCGCAGAUAUCAGGAGGAACACCGAUGGCGAAGGCAGGUAGCUGGGAGUGUGCCGACGCUGAGACACGAAAGCCAGGGGAGCGAACGGG
rnacentral:rRNA from 1 species